rnacentral:misc_RNA from 1 species
GGAGAGUCCAGUACGUCGAGGAGAGAGAGUAGUAUCGCAGAUGCAGUGAAGUCGUCCGUGGGUUGACAGGUUGUGCGUGGUGGGUGUGAAGGAGUGCGAGAGAGAGAGAGAGAGAGAGUAGUGUGAGGGGGGAAGAGAAGAAAAGAGAAGAGAAAAGAGCUAGCCGAUGGUAGCGAGAGAGAUAAAGAAACAGAAGAAAGGGACAUCGUUUUGUUGUGCGUCGAAGAGACGCACUUGAGAUCGUCAUUGCUCGUGUUUAUUCGUAGCAAACGACCGACGACGAAAUGAUUCUUUAAAGUUUACUGAGGAGUAUUCUCUUGAUCGUUUUAUAGGAGUGUUUGAGAACAAAGGGUGGAGGAUAAUACGACGACGACGACGACGACGACGACGACAACGACGACGACGACAACGACACGUCAAGUAAUUUCGGUCUAUCGGUCGAUCGGUCGUAUUGUUGGUCGUACUAUCGGUCGGUCGUACGGACGACGAGACGGAGGGGGUGAGAAAGAGAGCGAGAAAGAGAGCGAGCCUGACGGAGGGAUAGAGGGAAGGGACGGACGGAUUGACGGACGGAUGAUCUGACGUUAGUUUAAAUUCGGUUUGAUAUUCGGAGGAUCAGUCUAUUUUAUUGUUCACUUUGUGUAUCGUUUAUUUGAAACAACUCAAGAGGGAUUCAUUUUUUUGGUUUAAAGGAAGAAAGAAAUUUGAUUGGCCGUCGACGAUUGGACGUCGUUGUCAGUGUAUAUAUAGUGCGUCACUGUUUAUUUGAAAGUUUUUCUCCGUUUGUGGUAUUGGGGCACAUUAACGAUAUAAUAAUCAAAACGAAAGUCAAAACAACUAAGACGUCGAACGGUGAUUAUUGGGUGCGCGUGUCUUUGUUUUUCUUUCUCGGUGCUCGAUAUUCAGGAGGUUUGUUGGUGGUGGUGCGACGGACAGAGUACGUGUUACCGUGAAAAGGAGACGAGAACGAAGAGAAGGAGGAGGGAAAAAAGAAGAAGAAGAAGUAGAAGGCGAAGACGAAGAAAAGAACAAGAAGAGGAGUCAGUUGCUUUGGCGUUGGAGGAGGAGGAGGAGGAGGUGGAGGAGGAGGAGGCGGAGGAGCAGCAGCAGCAGCAGCAGCGGCAACAUUUACCCGUGAGUUCACGAAGCCGUGUGUGCUGGAUACGUAGCGGACUCUUGUGGAGGACCUUCGUGCGUGGAGCUACGAUCGAGCAGCACAGCUGAUCCAAGGACUCGGGUACGAAGGGCUCUUACACUUGCCAAUAACAAUCGACAAAUAUGUCGUCCCCCAGCGCUGGAAAACGACGUAUGGACACGGACGUUAUCAAACUAAUAGAAAGCAAACACGAGGUGACGAUUCUCGGAGGACUCAAUGAAUUUUCCGUCAAAUUCUACGGACCACGAGGGACACCUUACGAGGGUGGAAUAUGGAAGGUGAGGGUUCUCUUGCCCGAGCAUUAUCCCUUCAAAUCUCCUUCGAUCGGUUUUAUAAACAAGGUCUACCACCCUAACAUUGACGAAGUUUCAGGCACCGUGUGUCUUGAUGUUAUAAAUCAGGCGUGGACUGCCCUCUAUGACUUGUCAAAUAUUUUCGAAUCCUUCCUACCCCAAUUAUUAACAUAUCCCAAUCCCAUCGACCCUCUAAACGGCGAUGCAGCUGCUAUGUAUCUCCAUAAACCAGAGGAGUACAAGAAGAAGGUAGCUGAUUACGUGAGGAAGUAUGCAACGGAGGAGGCAUUGAGGGACCAGGAAAACGGUGGGACCGGGAACGGGAUGUCGUCCGAUAGCGAAUCAUCGAUGAGCGACUUUAGUGAAGACGAGGCGCAAGAUAUGGAAUUAACGAAUCGACAAAAUAUGUUUGAAAAGAAGGAAGAAAAACAAAACGAAAAAUGAAAUUUUAAAUAUAAAAUAUCGCGAUAGAACAACCAUGCCAUUUUGAUCGAUUUGACAUGAUGGAAUGUAGUCUAAAUAAGGUAGAAAAUGGGUACUACUAGUCCCGUCUUCCUUUUUCCUGCCAUCAAGCCAUCCCUGUACGUUUUCCUCGCAGGAAGUAGCAACGAGAGAGAGAGAGAGAGAAAGAGAGAGAGAAAGAGAGAGAGAGAGUUCUAUCGCGGACGACGAUGACAACAAAGUAACGUUCAAGUCAUAAUAUAAUAAACACAAACAUAAAGGUGCCUCUAUCGUAAUUUGAACGACGAAAAAUGAUCACAGUCGUCCAUGUGACGAAAAUAUUCAUGCGAAUCGACGAUAUCACUGCGAAGAAAGCUAUUUGAUUUUAAAUUCAAAUUCUCGUGUCAUUUUUCGAAGCCCCCAUCAGCAUUGCAUAAUCGAAUAAUAAACAAAAAGAUGACACAGGUGCGUGUUUUUAAAUUGUUCCAUGAAAUGUCACAAAACAAAUGAAACAAUAAAUAAGGAAAAAGUUCAAACGAUCUUGUCGGCUGAGAUUCGACGGUAUUCACUGAGAAAAAAAAAUCAUAUUUCCAAUAUAUAUAUAUAUAUAGUUUACGUGGAGGUUGAAUAAAAAAAAGUAGUCAAGCAAUCGACAAAACUGUGAUCUGUUAAUUUUUUCUUUAUCUAAUCAUUAUUAUGAAAUAUUAAAAUGUUCUAACGGAUUUGUAAUAUUUGCAAUCAUGCAUUAAUGUUAAGAUGCAUUUUAUCAUUAAAAUCAAAUAAUUUUGUUGGUUCUUUCGUCGCUUAUUAUAUAAAUCUGUAAAACCAAUUUACUUCUUAAUAGCUAAGCAAAGCCAAGCCAUUUUCGGAUAAACAGGAUAUUAAUUUAGUCCUAAUUUACGCGAAUCUGUUUUUCCAUCAAAAUAAACAUAUUUAUAUUUUUUAAUAUAUAAACAAGAAAAGAACAAUUUUUAUUAAAGCACAUUUCUAAAGAAAAGACAAAAACAAAAAAUAGAAAAGUUUUCAAAUGUUACUCAAAGGUAUUAGCCCCCCCCCUCCUCAGAAUGUUUUUUGCAUAGUCAUUUAUAAUUUGUUGGUCAAGUUUUGAAAAACCUCAGGGAUCUUAUUUUUCAAUGUAUCAAAGAUUUUUCCUGGUGAGAAUUGAAAGCACAGAUGAGAGAUGUUAACGUAAAGGAAAGAGUAAUAUUAACGUAAUAUUAACGUCAAGUAUAACAAAUAAUCCAUCUUUUCUGCUGAGAUUGGUAAUAAUUAAUUUGGAAGUAAGAAACAAAAAAACAAAAAAAGAGAAGAAGAAACAAAAGGAAUAAUAAUAAUGUAUUAAUGCCAAAAAUUGUGAAGUUAGAAGAGAAGAUAGAUUCGCCGGAAGCCAGCCGUAUAUGUACAAAUUAUGGUGCACAAUAAUCGUUGACGGAUAAAUAGUAUUUUGUUUUAAACUGAUCUCUUCUCUUCGUUUAAUUCAAGUUCUAAUACAAACAAAUUUAAUGAUUAACUUUAUACGAGAGACACGUAUAGCCAUGGUAUUUUAGUGCCUUUCGUGGGCAGAGAAAUGUGCCUUAUUCUAUGUGUCUCGUGAAAGAAUUGCUUACAAGAAAAAACAAAACAAACAAAAAAAAAAAGAACUAGUAUGAACGAGAAAUAAGUGUUCUGUGUUAAUUGAUUCUGUUAUUUUAUAUAUUUUUUACGUUAUUUAAACUGCUUGCUAAAUUGUAAUGUAUUAUAUUGGCAAAUUAUAAAUUAGAUGUACGUGCUAUGAUUAUUUCUAACAUUAUAGUAGAAAUUUUAUAUUGAUUAUAUUAAAUGUGCUAAUUAAAAAUGAAUAAUUAAAACAAGAAAUUGUAUUUAUGAUCGGACCAACUUCUUGAAGUUCUUAAUGAAAGCUUAUACGAAAAAAAGAGAGAGAGAGCGAGAGCGAGAGAGAGAGAGAGAGAGAGAGAGAGAGAGAGAGAAAGAGUAAGAGAGAAAGCUAUUAUUAAAAAAAGAAUGAAAAGAAAAUUCAAUUAAAAUUUUAUUGUGUUUGUUUUCGAAAUAUAACAACGCGUAGAUUCAUUAUUAUUAUUAUUUUUUUUUUGGUUUUCAUUUUAAUACACUAAACACACAACACAGGUAUACACACAUUUACACACGUACAUACUACGUACAAAUAUUAUAAUAAAUUUAGUAUUGUUAUUAUAUUGCUUCUCUCUUAUGUGAGUGCAUCCCAUCGAGGUGGAUUUUGUUAUUAAUCGAUGAUCGAAUUAUUCGUCGUUCAUUCUGUAAUUAAUUCAACAAAGAUUUAUGAAAUUAAUAUCUUAUGUCUAUCGAAAAAUAAACUUUUGUAUAAAAUUUCUUAUAUUUACGUUUUUAUAUAGAAAAAUUGUCGUCAUACGUUUAGAUCGAUAUUUUGCAAGAAGGUUGCACUCAUAUUUUAUACACGUUACAUUUUGUCUUUCGUAUAAGGAAAAAAACAAAACAAAUGAAUAUUAUCCGAACUUAUUAUAAAGUAAUGAAUUAAUUAAGACCUCUUCGUGAAUAAUGAAAUUAUUUUCAAUAAUUUAUUAUUACGGUGACUAUAGUCCAUUAUCAAUGUGUAUCCGUUUAUUUUAAAAUGUCGAUUAUUAUCAAGAAAUUAAUUAGAACAGCUUUAUACUUUUUGCAAUAUCAUACGUUAAAUAUUUUUAUUUUUAUUUAUAUUUGGUAUUUAACUUUUUUUUUCUUUUCUUGUAAAUUAUUUACUGGCGGUUUAUAUUUGAUUUCUCUCUUGUUUGCAUUUUAUCGAUCACUGUACGUUGAUAUAUGUGUGUUAUAAAAUUGGAUACACACAAAUUUUACUUCAUUUUUCGUCUUUGCACCACAUUGUUCAUCCUAAAUGCAAAUUAGACGAGAAGCAAAGUAAUUUCUUAUUACAUUAGGAAAGAAAUAAUAUUAUUUUUAU